AGUGAACGCUGGCGGUAGGCCUAACACAUGCAAGUCGAACGACAACACAGUAAGCGCUCGCCCUUACGGGUAGCGGGUGACGGGCGGGUGAGACAUACAUCGGCAUCUACUUUUUCGGGGGGAACAUCGUGGAGCCACUUCUGCUACUACCGCAUACAAUCUACGGCUGGAAUCAGUGGUUCUUGGGGCCUUGCCCGAUUCAUUGAGCUGAUGUCGGAUUAGCUAGUUGGCGGGGUAAAGGCCCACCAAGGCAACGAUCCGUAGCUGGUCUGAGAGGAUGAUCAGCCACACUGGAACUGAGACACGGUCCAGACUCCUACGGGAGGCAGCAGUAGGGAAUAUUGGACAAUGGGCGCAAGCCUGACCGAGCAAUGCCGCGUGAGUGAAGAAGGUCUUCGGGUUGUAAAGCCCUUUUGUUGGGAAAGAAAAGCAGCAGGUUAAUACCCCGCUGUUCUGACGGUACCCAAAGAGUAAGCACCGGCUAACUUCGUG
rnacentral:rRNA from 1 species